CAGCUCCGGUCAGAGUCAGUCCCGCCAGUAGCAGAAGCAGUAGGGUGGAGUGGAGUCCAGCACUGGACCGGAGAGAGGUUUCUACAGAGCCAUCAUCGUCGUCAUCAUCAGUGGGGGAUCACGGGCGGGGCGGUCACGGGAGGAGGAGGAGGAGGUGGGGAUCUUGGCUCAAGAGUGUUCCCUCCGUUUCUUCACGUGAGAUUUUCCCGUCCCACACACACGACGAGAAAUCUGCCUCCUUUCUGCACGGAUUCCGCUGGCGGAUUUCCUUUCUUUCUUUCUCCCCGGAUUCGGUGCAUGGAACCACUUCCCCCCUCCGUCCCCAGCAACAACAAGAUAUCUGCUGCUGCUGCUGCUGCUCUGCUAGCCUGAGGCCCCAAUGGCGUCCUCGCCGUCCC
rnacentral:lncRNA from 1 species